AUUGAACGCUGGCGGCAUGCCUUACACAUGCAAGUCGAACGGUAGAGUAGCAAUACUUGAGAGUGGCGAACGGGUGAGUAAUAUAUCGGAACGUGCCCAGUCGUGGGGGAUAACGUAGAGAAAUUUACGCUAAUACCGCAUACGAUCUAAGGAUGAAAGCGGGGGAUCGCAAGACCUCGCGCGAUUGGAGCGGCCGAUAUCAGAUUAGGUAGUUGGUGGGGUAAAGGCUCACCAAGCCGACGAUCUGUAGCUGGUCUGAGAGGACGACCAGCCACACUGGGACUGAGACACGGCCCAGACUCCUACGGGAGGCAGCAGUGGGAAUUUUGGACAAUGGGCGCAAGCCUGAUCCAGCAAUGCCGCGUGCAGGAUGAAGGCCUUCGGGUUGGUUAAACCGUUAGCGUUUUGUUACGGAACG
rnacentral:rRNA from 1 species